rnacentral:misc_RNA from 1 species
ACGAAUAACUAGAUGUGGUUGUAGCUGGCUUCUAGGAGCAUGUGCACGCCCGUCUUCUUAUCUUUCCACCUGUGCACCAAAUGUAGGCUUGGAUAACUCUCGCUCUCGGGCGGAUGCGAGGUUUGUCUUCGGACUCUCCUCGAAUUUCCAAGUCUAUGUCUUUCACAAACCCCAAUGAAAACGAAGAAUGUAGUCAAUGGGCUUUUAGCCUAUAAAACAAUAUA